rnacentral:tRNA from 5 species
GGGCGGACGUAGCCAAGUGGAUUAAGGCAG